GAAAAUGAUGAAAUUUGCACUGGGCUCUGAGCAGUUUUAUUGCUGUAAUUGAUUGAAAUGCGCCCUAGAAAGCAUAUCUGAUUC